GCCUCCUGAGGACUGCACCAAGAGAGGGCGAGAGAGUCAGUCCAGCGAUCAGAAGGCAAGUGGCUUAGAAGACAAGUAGCCAUCCACCACAUGGCUGAAUAAACCAUGACAGGACCAAUCGCCACUCAGCAAUGAGAAGCAGCUAACUGUUGACAUACCAACAGUUGCACGGGCCUCAAGGGUGUCACGCGGCAUGAAAGACACUCAUCUCAGGCCACACAGGAUUCCAUCUAUUGAACAUUCCUGAGACAACGGAAUUCUGGCGAUGGAGCACAGGUCUGCUACUGCCUACUAAGGAAUGGCCUCUCGACAUCCUCAUGUCAAACCCUGCAUGUUCGGGCCCAUCUUUAAAAUCCAUCCUAGGCCAGGUGCGGUGGCUCAUGCCUGUAAUCCCAGCACUUUGGGAGGCCGAGGCAGACGGAUCACCUGAGGUCAGGAGUUCGAGAUGAGCCUGGCCAACAUGGUGAAACUCUGUCUCUACUAAAAAUACAAAAACUAACCAGACAUGGUGGCAUGUGCCUGUAGUCCCAGCUUCUUAGCAGGCUAGGCACGAGAACUGCUUGAACCCAGGAGGCAGAGGUUUCAGUGAGCCGAGAUUGUGCCACAGUAAUCCAGCCUGGGCAACACAGUGAGACUCUGUCUCAAAAAAAAUAUAUAAAUAAAUAAAUAAAUAAAUAAAUAAAUAAAUAAAUAAAUAAGUAAAAAAUAAAAUCCAUCCUAUAUCAGUCAGGAAAGAGCUCAUUCCAGCAGGAUCAAUGCAGAGAAUUCACCAGAGGAACUAGUUCCAAAGGUAUGGCAAGAGCUAAAACUUCCAACAGGGGCCCGUGGGGCAACCCAGAGAUGGACAAGAGCAGGAAACUCCAAACCCUUUGGUGGGCAGGACAGAGGGUGUGGGUGAUGGUUCCAGUGCUGUGGGCUGGUCCAGCCUGGUAGGAAUGAGAAUCCAUAUGCUAGGAGCUGAGGCCCCAGAGAAGCAGCUGCUGUGGAAACCCCAGAGGGCAGACUCAGGGAGAGAUGCUGGCCUCCCCUUAUUCCCACCCUGCACUGUCUCCCAUGGGUCACACUCAGCUGCAGCCAGUUGCCUGGGGAGGGCCCUGCCAUGCUGGGGUUUGCAAAGCAGGCCCAGGGCCUGGGAAGGACGGAGUGUGCAGCACGCCGGUGGCUAUGCUGUCCAGCUACUGGGCGGACACUGCC
rnacentral:lncRNA from 1 species